CUGGGAUUAAUAUGUUUUCCAGGCUGAGGGAAAACACAGGAAUGUGAGUUUUUUUCCCCCUUUUCCUACGCUCCUCUCCUCCCUUUAUUUCUCCCCACCUUUUCUCUCCUCUUUUUCUUCUCCCUCUUUUCCUCCUUCCUUUUGCCUGGAUUCAGCCCCAGAAAUGUCAGGGCUACCUCAGUUUUGCUCCAAACCAAACUCAAACAACAGCGGCCACUGGAAAUCAAGGAAACUUCACUAAGAAUUUAACAGAUCAGCAAAACACCGCCUCCUUCCCAUUUCAGCAUGCUGAGAGUGGACCCGAUGAACCAAGCAGUCUCUUCUCCCAGGAGCUCACGGAUCAUUAGAGAAGAUAACUUGCUCUGAGAGAAGCCAACUGCCUUCUUGAGAAAACACUCAAGCAGCCCAAGGAGAGCCCACAUGCUAAAGAGAUGAAGCUCCCUGUCAACAACCAGAACUGACUCAUCUUCCUCAUCAGCACGAUACCUUAGAAGCACACUCUCCAGCUCUAUUCCAGGAAAUGAUAACCCUAAUCAACAUCUGGACUGCAACCUCAUGAGAGACCCCGAGCCGGAACUGCUCAGCUCAGCUACUUUCAAAUUCCUGACCCAUAGUAACUGUGUGAAAUGAUAAAUACCUAUUGUUUAAAAUCUUGGAAUAAUUUGUUAUGUAGCAAUAGAUAACUAACGUAGAGUCCUUGACCUAUGUGCUGGGGAGGUCCACAUGUUUUUGAAAAACACAAAGGAUGAAUUAAAGAAAACCACUGAAAGUAAUUUUUAAAAAUAAAGUUUAUUGGUUUGCAAAGAAGUCAUUAGCUGGCUAGGUUAACCUUUUUUUUGGAGAGGAUUUUUUUGCUAUAGGGCGCGUGCGAUCGCCAGACAGACAGAGGGA